rnacentral:misc_RNA from 1 species
AAAUUUUAUAAUAAAUGUUAGUUUAUCGAGUAAUUUUACACGCGUGCAAGUUUUGUCUAUGUAGAAACAGGAAAGCAAAAUCCCUACAUUGACUCAUUCCUACAUGUCAUUACGACUCGUCUGCUUAGAAUAAGUAGAAACAUCACUAUGCAAUACUGUGUUUCCAAGAUUUGAUUUUAUGCUGCUGUUCUAUUUACAAUUUCGCAAGACUUAGAUGUAAUGGCAAAUCUGACUAAUACAGUUUCGUGCAGUAGUUUUCCUGAAAACACAGAUCGAUGUGAAACGGUGAUCACAAUCCGUAAAGUUGCAGGGGCAUUUUCACUUACAGGAUGUUUAUUUAUGAUAGCUGUCAUCUGGUUGUUCCGGAAGUAUGUUGUGUUUGCUCAGAGGAUGAUUUUAUAUUUAAGUAUUGGAGCCCUUCUUGACAGCAUUGCAUAUCUUAUGAGCAACACUAUUGAAGAUGGACCACUUUGUGACUUCCAAGCUUGGUGGCUCACCUUCUUUGAUUGGACAGUACUUCUGUGGGUAGCAUGUAUCACCUUCAAUCUUUACAUGAAUGUGGUCCGCGCCACUUCUACUGAGCGCUUUGAAGGGGUUUACCAUAUAGUGUGCUGGGGUCUUCCUCUGUGCAUGUCGCUUUUGCCAUUCAUCAAUGAUCACUAUGGACCUGCUGGAGCUUGGUGCUGGAUUGUGGAGGACAUUGCUUGGAGAUUGGGGAUCUGGUAUGCACCAUUAUUUCUUAUCAUCGUCCUGCUCUUUGCUGCUUACAUCUACAUCAUCUUAACUUUGUCCAGAAAGGCUAGCACCUGGGAAGGCACUUAUGACCCAGACACAGAAAGAAAUCAUCAAAUGCUGCGGGAGGAUAUCAAACCUCUGCGUCUCUACCCUUUUGUAUAUCUUAUCGUCUCCAUCUUUCCCCUCAUUAACAGGAUUCAAAAUGCCUUUGCCCCCCACAACCACGUGUUUGCACUCGUGGUGCUAGCUUGCCUGUCAGCGCCUCUUCAUGGUGCAUUGAAUGCCCUGGUGUUUGGAAUGGAUAGGGAGACAUUGAAGAAACUGACACCCAUGCAAAUUAUGACUGCACUUCAAGCUCGUGUCCACCCUCAGGAAGUUCGUGAAUAUCCUCUUGCAGUUGGCCACCUUGAUGACCUUGAAGCCACUCCUGAUAAUUCCAAGUUUAGACAUGUGGCUUACACCCGCUUGCACUGACAGUGAUGUGGUGCGACGGGGAAAACAGGGUCAUCAUUUGAGAAGAAAAUCAUGUAGAUGUCUUCCAACACUUACUUGUUGACUCAUUUUAACAGCAUAUUAUUUUCUACCUAUUCACUACAACAAUUGCAUUGCGCAGCAAGUUCACACCUCGUGCUAAAGUUUUAGAAUAUCCACAUUUAUCUUCCUCUCCAUCAACACAGGACUUUCCCUCAGAAUGUUUUCCAACAGAUCCAUGAUUCAGGGAUAAACUUGGUUAUCU